GUGCACACCAACGGGAGCUCACCGCAGUGAGCUGAGAGGACGUCUUCGAUCGGGCGUCGACCGUACGAACCUGUCCGGGUAAUGCCGGCGUAGGGAAGAGGAGUCCCGCAUGC
rnacentral:ncRNA from 1 species